CCUGGUUGAUCCUGCCAGUAGCAUAUGCUUGUCUCAAGAUUAAGCCAUGCACAUGUAAGUACACACGAGCCGUACAGUGAAACUGCAAUUGGCUCAUUAAAUCAGUUAUGGUUCCUUUGAUCAUUCCAUCUGUUACUUGGACAACUGUGGUCAUUCUAGAGCUAAUAUAUGCAGACUAGCGCUGACCUUCGGGAUGUAUGGCAUUUAUCAGACAUGGACCAUCCAGGCUCACCCGGCCACUUUGGCGAUUCUACAUAACCUCGGGUUGAUCGCACGUCCCUGUGACGGAGACAAAACAUUCAGAUAUCUGGCCUAUCAACUUUCAAUGGUACUAUCUGUGCCUACCAUGGUGAUCCUGGGUAACAGGGAAUCAGGUCUCGAAUCCGGAGAGGGAGCCUGAGAAAUGGCUACCACAUCCAAGAAAGGCAGCAGGUGCGCAAAUUACCAACUCCCAACUCAGGGAGGUAGUGACGGAAAAUAACAAUACAGGACUCUUUCGAGGCCCUGUAAUUGGAAUUAGUACACUUUAAAUCCUUUAACGAGGAUCCUUUGGACGGCAAGUCUGGUAACAACAGCCAUGGUAAUUCCUGCUUCCAUAGCGUAUAUUAAAGUUGCUGCAGUUUAAAAGCUCGUAGAAGGCCUACCAGGGGGUGUAGAGAUGUUCUGAAGCAUCCGUGUUGACCUCUUCCCCCGUGGCUGUAUUAAGGGACCCGAGCCCCCCCCAAAAGCCUUGGAAGAGAACAACGGACCCCCACAGACACCAGAUGAAUCACAGGGGUACUGGCUAAAGGGGAAAUUCCAGAGCCGCCAGUCCCUGCAGAAGAGGAGAUAAGUGUCUCGGUCGAAGAGGCGGGACAUCAGGCUGCCGAGGCCACUCCGCCGCUCCACAAAACUUCACCACGACUAGAGGUGCCCAAUCCCACAACCUGCAGGGAACCCGGCUCCCGGUUGGGGACAGUGUAACCUGGUAUCCACACCUGAGCGAGCGGCGCCCCCCCAUCUCACUCCUCCCACUUUUUCUGCGGGCCCCCAACCGAGAGCCGGGAGAGUAAAGGCCCGGGGGACACCCCAGGAGGGACCCGACUUGCCUCGACUGCCUGCCCUUCCCGCACAGAGCGGGAGCAAGCACUAGAGGUCCAAGAUCAGUCUUAGUGAGGUUCCACUACUUCACUGAAAAAUCAAAAAUUCUGGAGCUAGCUCGAAAAAGAGGAGUGAUAGAAUGGGUGGGCAACAAGAUAACUAUCUACCAGUACCUCUCAGCGUUCACCCUCCAUAGACGUAGACUAUGUGGCCCCUUAACAAAACGGCUACAAUCAAAAGGUGUCUGAUACAGAUGGGGAUAUCCCUUCUCUCUUUCCUUUGAGUACGAAGGGUACAUAUAUGCCCUGGUCACAGAAGAGACAUACAACGGGUCUCCCAGGAACUCAUGGAGAUCCCCAUAAAGGGGAACAG
rnacentral:rRNA from 1 species